AGCUUUGCACAGGGGCAAUGUGAUAGCCUAUGAGAUUUAUCUGAGGCAUGAUUGUUGCUAAGAGACUGGCCUGUAGUUCUCCUUUUUGAGUCCUCUGGUUUCUGAAUCAGGGUAAUGGAAGCUUCCAGGAAU
ensembl:snRNA U4 U4 spliceosomal RNA